rnacentral:tRNA from 1 species
UCCCAUGUGGCUCAGUUGGUAGAGCAUGGUGCUUACAACACAAUGGUUGUGGGUUCCAUUCUCAAUGAGAA